rnacentral:rRNA from 1 species
GACGAACGCUGGCGGCGUGCCUAAUACAUGCAAGUAGAACGCUGAAGAGAGGAGCUUACUCUUCUUGGAUGAGUUGCGAACGGGUGAGUAACGCGUAGGUAACCUGCCUUGUAGCGGGGGAUAACUAUUGGAAACGAUAGCUAAUACCGCAUAACAAUGGAUGACACAUGUCAUUUAUUUGAAAGGGGCAAUUGCUCCACUACAAGAUGGACCUGCGUUGUAUUAGCUAGUAGGUGAGGUAAUGGCUCACCUAGGCGACGAUACAUAGCCGACCUGAGAGGGUGAUCGGCCACACUGGGACUGAGACACGGCCCAGACUCCUACGGGAGGCAGCAGUAGGGAAUCUUCGGCAAUGGGGCAACCCUGACCGAGCAACGCCGCGUGAGUGAAGAAGGUUUUCGGGUCGUAAAGCUCUGUUGUAAGUCAAGAACGGGUGUGAGAGUGGAAAGUUCACACUGUGACGGUAGCUUACCAGAAAGGGACGGCUAACUACGUG